rnacentral:rRNA from 1 species
UACAGAGGUCUCAAGCGUUGUUCGGAUUCAUUGGGCGUAAAGGGUGCGUAGGUGGCGCGGUAAGUCGGGUGUGAAAUCUCGGAGCUUAACUCCGAAAUUGCAUUCGAUACUGCCGUGCUUGAGGACUGGAGAGGAGACUGGAAUUCAUGGUGUAGCAGUGAAAUGCGUAGAGAUCAUGAGGAAGACCAGUGGCGAAGGCGGGUCUCUGGACAGUUCCUGACACUGAGGCACGAAGGCCAGGGG